CCUACGGGAGGCAGCAGUAGGGAAUAUUUCACAAUGGGCGAAAGCCUGAUGGAGCAACGCCGCGUGCAGGAUGAAGGCCUUCGGGUUGUAAACUGCUUUUAUAAGCGAGAAAUAUGAUGGUAACUUAUGAAUAAGGAUCGGCUAACUACGUGCCAGCAGCCGCGGUCAUACGUAGGAUCCGAGCAUUAUACGGAGUGACUGGGUGUAAAGAGUUGCGUAGGUGGCAUAAUAAGUAGCUAGUGAAAUCUGGUGGCUCAACCAUUCAGACUAUUAGCUAAACUGUUAAGCUCGAGACCGUUAGGGGUAACUGGAAUUUCUGGUGUAGGAGUGAAAUCCGUAGAUAUUAGGAGGAACACCAAUGGCGUAGGCAGGUUGCUGGGACGGUUCUGACACUAAGGCACGAAAGCGUAGGGAGCAAACGGGAUUAGAUACCCUGGUAGUC
rnacentral:rRNA from 1 species